AGUUGCACAAUGAGGAACAAACUUAAUAUAUCAUGAGGUUGAAAGGCCAGUGACUCGAUAUGUCCUUUUCAUUCUGAGUGCCUC